UAUUUUUCUGUACAUAAUUUGACAACAGAAUAUGUUAUAUAUGUGCAUAUAUGUUUAUAUGUAUUAGAGCAUCAUUUGCAACUGUUAGAAUAAAAAAAAGAACGAGGAAAAAGUGAAAUAGUAGAACUGAGGGAGUCAUUAAGUCGGCACUUCACUCUCGAUUUUAACGCCUCGAAGUGACGCACUCUUGCAUCAAGUACGUUUUAGUUCGUCCUACAUUUUCGCCAAUAUCAGAAGCAUUACUUUAUUCCAGUCUCAACACUUUCGACAGACUUACGUCAGUAGCCUUUGAACAUAUCUCAACUUUCUUACAAAAGAAUUCUAUUAACGAAACACUGAUAUUUAUUCUUGCCAAUUAUCGAUUAGUCCUAAAGAUCGACUAACUCUGAAAUUAUCGAUUCUGUCAAACAUGUCGCACAUAUUAGUCGUAUAUACAUAAAUAUUAUAGGUUAGUUUCCAUAUAUCUUAUAUAAAUAAAAUUUACCUAUCAAAAAUGUGAAUUAAUGAAAGUGUAAAUAAAAUUGAUCAAGAAUAUAAUUUAUAUAAUAUUCUGUUAAGAUCUUAUAAUAUCUCUUUGAUAUAUUUAUGGAUUUUAAUUGUUCUAUGGAUAAUGAACGAUAUAAAAGAGAUUAACGUUACAACCAUAAUUUAUAUCGCAAAAGCUAAGCUAUAGUACCAAACGUUUCCCAAUUAUCGAAAUGGAGAGAAGUUAAACGAGAAGGCGGCAGUGUUUCGUCUUGUUGCUUUCUUUUCUUUCCCAGCUUGCGCAUUGCCUGUUCAUACAACGAAAGGAUAGGCGGUGUAAAAAUGAGUAUAGAAAAGGGCGCGUGGGUGGUAGAUGGGUCAGAGACAGAAUGAGAUGGCUGAUAGAUGGAAAAAGAAUCCUGAGUGUAUGUGAGUGUGCGCGCACGUUUGCCACAGCAUGUAUAUGAAAGAA